rnacentral:rRNA from 1 species
AUACGUAGGGGGCAAGCGUUAUCCGGAUUUACUGGGUGUAAAGGGAGCGUAGAACGGUUCUGCAAGUCUGGAGUGAAAGCCCGGGGCUCAACCCCGGGACUGCUUUGGAAACUGUUGGAACUAGAGUGCAGGAGAGGUAAGUGGAAUUCCUAGUGUAGCGGUGAAAUGCGUAGAUAUUAGGAGGAACACCAGUGGCGAAGGCGGCUUACUGGACUGUAACUGACGUUGAGGCUCGAAAGCGUGGGGAGC